rnacentral:lncRNA from 1 species
ACUUAAAGCAUCAUUUACUAUCUCCUGGUUUCCGUGGGUCAGCGAUCCCAGGGCAGCUCGCUGGGUCCUCUGGCUUCGUCUCAGAGGCUGCCAUCAAGGCAUGGGCCAGGGCUGCAGUCCCCUCAAGCCCAGACUGGGAGGACCGGCUUCCUGGCCUGCUCAUGUGGUCGUUGACAGGAUUCAGUCCCUCCGGGCUGGGACUGAGGCCUCGGCUGCUCAGGAGCCGUGAGUCAGAGGCUGCCCUCAGUUCCCUGUCCAGGAGGUCUCUCCAUGGCGCAUCUCACAGCACGGAGGCUUGCUUCAUCAGAGAGAGCCAGAGGGCAAGGGGGAGAGCAAGCAGGGAAGGCACUGUCUUUUGUGACCUAAUCAGAAGCGGCGUUCCAACACUUUGGCUGUAUUCUAUUUCUCGGAAGUGAGUCAUUAGGUCCAGCCCACACUCAAGAGUUGGGAACCACACAAGGCUGUGGCUACAGGAGUCAUGGCUGUCACACACCUUCACCCACCCUCCCAAGGGCAAGCUCCAGGACAGCAGGAACCUCACCUGCCUUGUCCUCCUCCCCACCCCGGUGCCUGACACAUGGCGGAUGUUCAGUAUAUGUUUUUAGAUGGAUGAACGAGUGACAACUAUAAUAACUGCUCUGCUGACCUCAUGUGGUGGUGAGGAUCCCCCAUUGUGCCUGCCUCAGAUGAGGAAAUUGAGGCUCAGUGAGAACAAGCGAUACCCUGGGCUCCUGUGCCUAAGCAGAUUCCUACCUGGCUGUCAUGCCCAUGUACUCUGAGGAUUACCUUGCAGUUGAAAUGUCUCCUUGGCCUCCAGCAAGGAAGCAGUUUCCAUAUCUAUAUUUAAUCAUUUUUAGUAAAUUUUUUUCUGAUCAUAAAAAUACAUACCUGCAAUAUAUAGUCACACAAUGGAAUACUACACACCAAUGAAAAAGAAUAGACUUCCACUUACGUAAACACAGCAACAGAACAGAUUGGUUUUAUUCAAUGAAAAACGGAAGACAAGCAUGAAAAUUAAUACCUGUUCAUUCUAAAAAAUAAAUAAAGUACACACAGUAUUUAAAAGAAAAAAAAAUUGGUAGUCCCACCACUGGGAGAUACCACAAUUAACAUCUUAGAGGAUGUCCUUCCGGAUCUUUUCCCAAUAGCAUUACCUUUUCACGAGCAUUUCCUAAGAACGGAACCGGGACCUAGAACCACUCACUGGAGGUGCUAGUUUAUGCAGGAGUCUGAGUUCCCUGGACGUCUUUCUCUUACCCAGAAAGCCCUGAUACGACCAGAUUUAAUUUGACCAUUUUUAGAAGUGCACGGAACAAUUAACGGCAAAUAAAUUGAAUUAAAAUCAAAUUGAAUGCAGCCUUUCAAUGAUAUGACUUAGAAUUUGAUUUUAAGUACCGUAAUGAAUACGAAAUGAAAGCUGGGCCUGGAAGGCUGGAAGGGCUCUUGGGCUUCGUGGGACCCGGAGUGCCACCUGCUGGCCGUGGUCUGCAAUGACAUCCACCACCCCUUCCUCUGACAGCAUGGACUUCCCGCUUGUAAACCCAAAAUAGGCUCCCUCUUUUUCUUCCAUGCGUUGAUAUCUCUCUCAAGAGCUUCCCAGACAUCUUUGCUCCCCUAGAGCAUUACAAAGUUGCUAGCACACAGGAGUAGUUUAAUAAAUAUUUUUUGAAUGAAUGAAUGAAUGAAAGGAUGGAUAGAUGGAUGGAUGAUGGAUGAUGGACGGAUGGAUGGACAAAAGGACGGAAGGGCAGUCUUGUGCGUCAUUGUGAAAUGAGAGAAUAAUCUCUGCCCUUCCCAUCUCACAGGCUUUUUUUGCAUUUUUUUUGUUUUCUCUUCUCUCGCUUUUGAUAAAAAUGAUGAUUUGAUACACAUAAACAUAGUGAAAUGAUUAUUAUUUGAGCUAACAUGCUAUCUCCUCAUAUAGUCAUUUUUUGUGAUGAAAGCUCUUGAAUUCUACUCUUCGCAUAUUUCCAGUAACUAUACAGUAUUAUUAACCACAGCCAUCGGGCUGGACACUAGCUCUCUAGACUUAAGUCACCCUACAUAACCACACUUCCGCCCCCUUUGACCUCAUCUCUCCACUCCCCCACCUCCCUGCCCUGGCAACCACCAGCCUGCUCUCUGCUUCUCUGUAUUCGACUUUUUUAGACUCCACACAAAAGUGAGUUGUGCAGUUUUCUUCUUUCCUCACAGGAUUUUUUUUUUUUUAGGAGAGUGAAUAAGAUAACCGUUGAGGGAAGCCAGAUGGAUGUGAAGGAUUAUGAUAACAACCCAACGCCAGGGGGCGGAGGAGUCAAAUGGUGACCAGGGUGAGCAGAGAGGCUGCAGAGAAAGGUACUGCGUUAAAAACAGGAGAUCAAGCAAACGUGAGGAGUCUUGAGCCAGACACUCACUAGGCAGCUGACAGUUUAGCUCGUUUCCAUUUCCUCUUCCUCCUUUAGGACCAGCUCGCUACUCCUUUCCACGGAAUCUGAGGAGCUGAGAUUCCUGGCCACGGAGAGUUGUCGCUUCCUGGGCUCACUCAGAGGUGAGGUGACGUUCCACGCUCGCUGUCAGUUUUGAAACAGGCAGUGUCACUGUGCUGCGGGUGUGACUUGGCCCGUCACAGCCCUCCUGCGUUAGGAAACAUGGUUUCUGAGCCAUCACUGUCGGGCUGCCUGAUGGCGAGGUGCCCAUCUGAGCGUGUCCCCUGUUGACAGCGCUUGACAAGCAUCGUGCCGGUCUUGCUUUUAGAUGCUGCACAGCAGGAGCUCUGGUCUGCAUAACGCGGCACGAUGAAGCGGAAAGAGUAUGGACAAGGGGGCAGAAAGCUGGGCUCUGCCACCCGCCAGCUAGGGGACCUUGAGCAAGUCGGCUUGCCCUUGCCGGUACGUAAACCAUCUCGUUGGGACAGUGCAACAAGAUGGUGCCUGGGAAAACGCUUUGUAAACUGAAGUCCUAGACCAAAUGAACAUCACGCCCCAGAUGUGACCUGAGCGAGCCCAAAACCUACAGGGAGGCUCCAAUGCAUCGAUCUCGACCCAGCUUCUACUUAGGAAAUGCGGUCCCAUCUUAGCAUCUCUGUCACAAUCUUAUUUCACAUUAGCUUGUGGCCCACUAAGACCCAUCCCCUACUGGCUUUUUUGAAUAUGGACUGUACCCUUUCAAGUAUCAUCCACUGUUUGUUUGGGCAACCGGUUUUUUGAAACUAGAGGUAGACUUUGUGUUAUUUUGCACUAGGUAAAUUCAAUCUCAUUGCUCUGGCCCAUCUACAUAGGCUGUUAAAAUGUUCCCAGGGGCCGGCCUGGUGGCGCAGCGGUUAAGUGCGCACAUUCCCCUUUGGCGGCCCGGGAUCCGCCGGUUUGGAUCCCGGGCGCGGACAUGGCACAGCUCAUCAAGCCAUGCUGUGGCAGGUGUCCCACAUAUAAAGCAGGGGAAGAUGGGCACAGAUGUUAGCUCAGGGCUAGUCUUCCUCAGCAAAAAAGGAGGAUUGGCAGAUGUUAGCUCAGGACUGAUCUUCCUUAAA